AUUGAACGCUGGCGGCGUGCUUAACACAUGCAAGUCGAUCGGUAACAGGUGUAGCAAUACAUGCUGACGAGAGGCGGACGGGUGAGUAAUGCUUGGGAAUCUGCCUAUUAGUGGGGGACAACCCGGGGAAACUCGGGCUAAUACCGCAUACGCUCUACGGAGGAAAGCCGGGGACCGCAAGGCCUGGCGCUAAUAGAUGAGCCCAAGUCGGAUUAGCUAGUUGGUAGGGUAACGGCCUACCAAGGCGACAAUCCGUAGCUGGUCUGAGAGGACGACCAGCCACACCGGAACUGAGACACGGUCCGGACUCCUACGGGAGGCAGCAGUGGGGAAUAUUGGACAAUGGGGGCAACCCUGAUCCAGCGACGCCGCGUGAGGGAUGACGGCCUCGGUUGUAA
rnacentral:rRNA from 1 species